GUUGGUAACAACGUGCAGCAAGGUAAACUCCACUCGUAGCAAGACCAAAUAGGAACUCAAUGGGUGGCCCGUCCAGAGUUCGGGUAGGUUGCUUGAGCGACAGAGUAAUUUGUCGCCUAGAGGAAUGAUUGUCCACGACAGAACUCGGCUUAUCGACCAACUCAACAA
rnacentral:RNase_P_RNA from 1 species